ensembl:lncRNA
GUAAUAAUGCGUGUUUGAGACCCUUUUUUGCAUUGUAUUAUACUGUUUACUGAAACUGGCUGGCCCUACCAAAAAAAAUCCACCAGCCGCCACUGAGCCUGACCGUUCUGCCUCUGUCAGCAGCGAACUGACUGGAUCAUAAAGUGAAACUCACUACACUUAUUCUAAAACACAGCUUCCAUUUUAACAAAAGUAGAAACCUUCAUUUCUAUUUUCCUGGUUUAUCUUCUAAUUUGUGUCCCUGCUCAGCGUCUGACAGAACCCAGACCAAUUAUAUCCAUGUGCCCUUUUUUCACAUUUUUGAGCUUAAUCCCAGAUACUUAAAAAAAAUCUAAUCUCAGAGGAUUUCUUUUUUUGCCUUUUAAAUUUUCAACUGUAUCUUGAAUAACCUUGAAUUUGUACUUGAGUAAAAGUACUGCUGUUAGGACUCAGUUGUCACUUUAACACCAGAUGAGCUUUCGACGAGUUCAUUCAGGAGAUUCAUUCCCCUCCCUUUAAUAUCAGCUAAGUUCUGACUUUGAUAACUUAAUUACUAUUUUUUUAUACAGGAAGAUGCUGAUAUUAGUUUCUCAGAAUUAAUGCGCAUUAAAAUGAAAGGGCUACAAGAUGACAUUGCAAGUAUUCUGAAGUUGUACUUGAGUAUUUGUACUCGUCAGUAUCAGCUCAUCGCGGCGAUGUUUCUUAGUGGGGCGAACAGGCCGAGCUUCGCCAAGCAUCACCUGUCAAUCUCCGGCCUCCUGCCUUCUUCUACUCCUCCUUCUUCUCCCUCUUCUCCUUCUUCUCCUCCUCCUUCUUCUCCUCUUCCUCCUCCUCCUCCUCCUCCUCCCUCUGUUGCAUGGAGCGUGGCUGUGACAAAAGCAGAGGAAUGCCAUUGGCUGCAGUAAAGAGGCUUUAACUGUUGCUCGCUGGCCAUAAACACUGACCGCCAGGGAUGGGGGGUGGGGGGAGGGGGAGGUGAAGGCGGAGGGCCGACGGUGAUCGGGUUUCAGUACCGUGAUGAAUUCUACAUCCCAAGGUUCAUGAGUGGAGACACAAACUGCUGUUAACAGCAAAUAAAGCAGCAGCAGAAAGAGCGGGCUGGGGGGUGUAGUUAAUCUAUUCUUCAUCUCGAUCUUAAUUAGUUUCUUAAUUAGCUUCCACUAAAUUAAGCCACUCUGUUUGAACAUGCUCAGAUGAAUGUGGGGCCAUCCAGUCAGUCAGUCAAAACAUAAAUAUUAGUUAGUAGGUUAAAUAUUUUAUUUUGCACAGAUAUCAUAUUUUACCAAAAUUACGUACAUUCCAUACUUCCAUACCAAUACUGACAUUUUUUAUAAAUUAAUAAUUAUCUUUUAUUUUUUAUUUUUUUGGAGGGUGCUCAAGGAGGAGCGACACCCUCUGCUCUCUAUUCCUGCUGCCAGGAUCAGGACUAGACUGAGACUCACAUAGAUCAGGGAUCCUCGACGUUUUUCAGGCCAUGGUCCCCCAAACUGAUGGCGAGAUGGAGCAGGGACCCCCUAUUCUACGGAGUUUGGUCCGUCACCUUUUAUUUUUGAGCUUUGCGCUCUUUAGACGUGAGCAUGAACGUGAUCUGAUUGGCUGGUGCCUGCGCUGUCGUAUUUGCAUGAAAGGUGCUGUGAAUGAACCGGUGCCCAGCGUGAGAGCUGCUGAGGGAAGCUCAAUGUGUGUGUUGCGGACUGAAAGAUAACGUCUUCUCCAUCAAUUUAUCCGUUUGCUACAAUAUGUUGGAUUCAAUUUCGCGACCCCCCUACAGUACCUCCCUGUUGAAGACCUCUGACAUGAGUGAGAUUAUAUAUUUUGUUCCAGAAGUAGAUGUUUUAUUUCGACUCAGAGCUGUAACAUAAUAUGUGGCAUUGAUUCUACAAGGAAGUCCAGUGGAAGCUGGUUCUGGUUCUAACUCGGGACUAAACCGCCCCCCCCAGAUGAGCGCACACUCUCUAUUUCAUACUUCUUUUUUUCAGGCUACCAUUAGCCUCUUGGCACGUUUUGUUCGACCCGCGUUAUGGAGUUCGUCCCCGUCAGCACCUGCCGGCCUGCCAGAAAUCUGCUUCUUGGACCCCCAAACAAACGCCUUUAAGUAGCGGGAGGGGGGCGGAGCCCAAGGUGGAGGGGGCACAUGAAAGUUGGAGAGCGCAGGUGGCUCUCAGAGAGACGAAACACGAGCAUGUGUUUUGCCAAAACAAAAUUAUGGAAGGGAGGAAAAAAAGAGAAGGAGAAGAUGGAAGUAUGCGUGUCUGUGUGUGUGUGUGUGCCUGUGUAUGUGUGUGUGUACGUGCACUUGUGUGUACGUGUGUGUGUUUUUGUGCAUGUUUGCCUGUGCGUGUGUGUGUGUGUGCCUGUUUUUAUAUGUUUGUGUGUGUGGUUGUGUGUGUGCGUGCGUGUGUGAGUGUGUGUGUGUGUUGGAGGAAGUCAAACCAGUUGGCUGUCAGCUCCAUUUGGCUCCUGUCUCACUCCCUCCAUUUCUCAUAGAGAGCCAUAAGGAAGGCCUCAGCAUGACCACUUCCCAGAAUGCCUUUCUGCUGCUCCUGACGGCAGCCAUUCAUCUCCCCUCCCUCCCUCCCUCCCCCAUCACCACUCCCCUGAGCCCUCAUUUAAACCCAUUUAAACCCUUCUGAUAUGACCAGGAUCAAGUGUCCUGCGCGGCCCCGAAGCAAGGCACUCUGCCACCUGAGGUCGAGGGUUUGAGUCCCACCGGGGCCGCAAAUAUCUGCACUUAAAACCUGGCACAAGGAGCUCACCUCGGGCCGCUGGGGACAUCUUGUUUUUAAGAUGGGAGGAAUAACGGUAACGAGGGGCCAAAACCCACGUUUUAGCUGUUAGAGUUCCUCAGAAUAUUCCAAAUACUAAAAAUCCUUUUAAAUAAGAAGCAUUCUUUUAUGCUCAAUGAAAUUGCAUUGGAGGAAAUAUUUAGCAGCCAAAUCGAAUAGAUUACAUGACAUUCAACCUUUGUUUCUUUAUUAUGUAUUUAAUAAUUUACUUGAUUGUAUGAAGGCAAUACAUUCUUUGUAAAAAAUGGAGGGAAUCAUCCGAAAAAAACGUCUUUUACAUUAUUUUCUGAUUUAUGGAGUUAUAGAAAUUGUUUUUACCCAAUGUUCUAGGAAAUGAGUACAUAUUUUGUAAAAAAGUGCCUAAUUUAAGGAUUUAAAAAUACACUUAUAGUAAACAUACAAUACGAAACAAUGUUGUUUUGAUGUGAACAAUCAACUGAGGAAAAUUAAUUGUUUAAUUGGUAUUUUUGUACUUUACUAUUCCCAUUUAAUGCUACUUCAUACUUUUUCUUCUCCACAUCUCAGAGGAAAACACUCUAUGUAGGUGUAUUUUUUCAUAACGAGUACUUCUAAGAACUUCGUUGGAGUAUUUCUGUUGAUCACUUUACUUUACUUUUUUCAUUAUAAACUCAAUUAAAAAAGAAGGUCGGGUUUCUGUCCACUGAUACGUUGAACUGUUUAUGUCAUUAGCGUGUUUGAGUCUCAGCCUCAUAAAGCCCCACCUGCCCCCCCCAGAUGCCUCGCCUGUCCCGUACCACCCGGCUCUGUGCAUUUGGACCAGACCGCCGGAUCUAAUCCCGGUCCCCCCCUCGCAGAACGAGUCGCCAACUCUGAGAGCAGCGGAGGCGCCGUCCCGGCCUCUGCGGCCCGGCACUGGGCCAAGGGACUGGGUGGGGGGUCCCCUCCUCCCCUCGAUCCGGACUAACCGGCAGCAGCCGGAGCAGACCAAUGAGGGGUGUGUGUGUGUGUUCUAGGGAGCAGUGUGAGGUCCAGAUGAUGAAAGAGAGAUCAGACCUGUGAGAACCACAGAGUCUUUUAAAUAUUCCAAUGAGAGAAGCCACAGUCAUCUGCAUAUGGCUUCAUACGGCUCUAAAACUACAGCUGGACGUUGUGUCCAACGCGGUAAGGAUUCCUUCCGGCCUUUGGGUUUAAUAAGAGCCCAUCUCAUAGAUUGUAUUCCUCCUGUGGGCUCUUCAUGGAGUUGUAGUUUUGUCUGUUAUGUCUUCAGCCCUUCAGAAUGUCUUCAAAUCAGGCCAAGUUUGAUUCAGAUGUUUGGCUGUCAAAGGUCAAAGGUCACUACGACCUCACAUCCGUCCCACUCUCAAUGUUUCUCAUGGAACACCUUGAGAUUCAACAUUUGGAAGAAACGUCCAGCUGGACUGAAGGCUGAGCUGAUGGGAAUUUGGUGGUGAAAGGUCAAAAGGUUGAAAGGUCAGUGUGACCUACCCACACCACAUAGUGUCAAUAAGAAGACGACUUACCGCCGUUACUCUUUAAUGAUAGACACCAUGUUAGGACUCAGUAGGAGGUAGGGACUAGUUCCAUUGGGGAGGUAAAUAUUAUACUCAUUAGUACAUCUCAGAGUUCCCUUUACUGUGCUACAUGUCAGAGUACCCUUUACUGCAGUGGUCCCCAACCACCAGGCCACGGACCGGUACCGGUCUGUGGGCCUUUUGGUACCAGGCCGCACCACGGAAACCGUAUAUAUAUUUUUUCUUCGGAAAAAUCUUUUAUUUUGAAAAUUUUCUCGACCGGUCCGCGAAAUAUUGUCUGACAUGAAAACGGUCCGUGAGGUAAAAAAGGUUGGGGACCACUGGUUUACUGUACCAUAUCUGUCCGACAGCUACUUGUCUACUACUUUUUACUGAUCAAUCUUAGUUUUAGUAGUAGUAUUAGUACUUUCACUGCAGUAAAGGAUCUGCAUACUUCUCAGCGAAAUGUAUUUGCUUGUGUUUUAUAGUCUUGUAGUAGCUUGUUAGCUUGUUGACCUUUUGGAUCCUCUACUUCCUGUUUUUAAUGAUCAGGUUAUUGAUCUGAAGUCAAAUCUUUAAAGUGUAAACUCUGAGCUUCCCUCCUCCGUUUCCACUCGUGGUCACCGGGCAGCGGCCGGAAUCUCCCUCGUACUUGGUCGGGGUUUUGGGUUCCCGGGGCACCCGAGGAGAGAUUGGUCUACCACAUUGACUCUGAUGUAGAAAACCAGACUUCCGGGUCGCAGCGUCCCAGGAUCCUUUGUUUUCCCCCCCGUGGGAGUUCCCGGCCCGGACGCUUCCCUCAGGUUGGUCUGUCCCUUGCAGCUCCUCCACCCCAACAGUGGCCAUGAGGGUGGAGUGGGGUGGGGGGGUAGAGGCAGUGUCAAGAGGUGGAAGAGGAUGUAGUUUCCAGAUGCUCCACCGGUGUUUCGAGUGCUGACGUUGCAGCUCCGGUCUCUACGCGGGCCCUCAAGUCCUCCAUUCAUUGUGCGGGUUUGACUUCAGGACGUCACUGUGGGGCCUCUUGUUCUCUUAUUUUUAUUUGAAAUUCUCCAGUUUGCUUUUGAUUUGAUUCCUCAGGUAAGUCAUUAGUAAUAAUUGAUGACCGUCGAUGUAAUCCUCCGGCAUCGUGUUGACAGAUUUACUCACGAUCUUUGCGUUCACACUUUUUCGUAAGAAGGAAAAUGUGUUUGUGUGGCCAUGUGACCUUUGACCUUCUGACCAGGGGGUCAUCGUCGCAGUAGGACAGGUGUUUGUCCAUCUGUGAAAGACAUAACAGAUCUGAUCCUCUCCGGAAACUCUCAACUUCUAAAUAGACAGACAGGUAUAUUCAAAUAUCUGUGCGUACACACACACUCAAGAUAUGUAUAUUAUACUAUUUACUGAACAAUGAUUCAAAAUAUAUUGAAAUAAUAGUAUGCAUUAGGGUUCAGGAGCAUCAGUUAUACUUUCCAUGCUAAUACAUAAUCAGAGCCAAACUUUCAAUAGUAUAAUACAAGAAUGUUUUUUUCCCUAGAGCAGAAGUGGUGAAAUACUUUUACACAAGUAAAAGUGUACUUUUACAAAUUAAAGUAAAAGUAAUUCACCCUUGUGUACACAUACCAUUACAUUACAAGAGCUUUUUUUGCAGUAAAAAGGACAUUUUGUCUGUUUUUAAACUGUGAUCGUUGACUUUUAUUUGAGUACAUGUCAAACAAAUAAUUUCUUUUGUGUAUUUGUUGAGUCUGGAGUUCCUCUCUCUCUCGUUCAUCUUCAUCACUUAGACACGUGCAGCGUUAUAAACCAUACGUUGAUGAUGUUUUGUCUCUAACGAUGGGGGGGGUUGGACCUUAAGUUACAGGUUACAUUCUGUGCCCCCCCUGGAAACAGCUGUAAUUCCCCCAAUUAUCAGUCAGCACUCAACACUUUUAAAAGGUGGCGUCAGUCGAAACUAGAAAAUAUAAUUUAGAAUCUUCUUAUUCUCUUUAAUUGUCUUGUUGCAGCUGUUUGCAUUCUAAAUGAUCCUUGGAUUCAUCACCUUAAUGAUAAAACACAUUCACACGUGACAGGAUUAUUUCUUUUAUAUAAAAAGCAAAGAAGUUUUGGACCAAAGUGCUUCAAAAUUGACCUUGUUUUAGUUUUUUAGGAUCUUUUGUCACAUGGCGACAGGUCGGUCCAAUUUUUCCCUUGAACUUCUUCAUUACAAACGACAGUGUCUCUACAACAGAGUACACACAGCGCUAAGCCGUUCUGGGUCAGACUAACGAAAAUGUUUAAAUAUCACCAAAGCAACAAGUGUGAUGUUGGCGCAGGGGUAGAGAUGCACCCGGAACCGCAAGGUUGGUGGUCGGUGUCCAAUGUCCAAUUGUUCCUGAGCAAGACACCGAACCCCUAAUUGUUCCCCGGGCAAAAAUGUAAAAAGCCAUGGGUUAAAAAUGCAAUGUAAGUCGCUUGGAUAAAAGUGUCAGAUAAAUGACUUGUAAUGUAAUUUUCGAUGGGAGAGGCAUUAAACCUGUAACACAGCAACAUUUUUUUUGUUGAUUGUGGGCAAGUAAAAUAUACUCAGUUUUUAACUGAAGAGACAAUUAUCUCCACUUCUAUACUCAUGUGCUUUGUCAGAUAAAGCAAGAUUUUAUACCAGAGCAACAGAAUUAGAACUGUAGUUUAGAAUGAGAUUAUUUGGUGAAAAUCUUCCUGUGAGUGAUUGGUGAUUCGUUUUAAAGCAGUAUAACUUGUCAGAAGUACUGGUUACACAGUAGUGCACAGUAGCCUAAGGGACAAAUGAAAUGUGAAACUUUUAGAUGAUAGAAGUCAACCAUCACCUUCAUGCUUUAACAUUACAUCACUACAACCUUUAUUUAUAGCAAAUUGCACGCUGCGUUCAAUUUAAUAAUUGAACACAUCGUUUUUAGGUACAUGUUGUCGCUAGAGUUGCACAUGAGACGGAUCCUUUCUAUUUAAACCGUCCUGCAAGCAAAGACAAACAAGUCACCAACUGCCAGCAACAUUAUGAGUCAGUAGGUCAAAGGUCAGAGCGUUGCUGCCUCUUAAAACAGACAUGUCAGACGUUCCCCGGGUCUCCGCUCAGCGAAGAAAUCUCCAAUUAACCGAAGUGUGAAUUCCUGUAUAAAGCAGCUCUGUGGCCUCUGAACGUCUCUCUCCAGGCUACACGCUAUUUCGGGUGGGCUUCGAUCCCGGAGCUUAGUUGGCCUCCAUAGCUCGCAUUCCCAUCCGGAGGCGCUCAGGUCUUCACGCCGUAUCUUGGGAACACGCCGUUAUCAUGCACUUCCCACCGUUGCGUCAGAGGCCGCAGAUAUCUCUGCGUGGACUGAUGACGAGACGGUAACCUACCUCACAUUAGACUUCUUAAUAUUCAAACUAUAGCUCUUCGUUUGGUGGUGAACUUGACCAACAUUGGUGGAAGGUUUCACCUGUGAGGUCGAGGCCUUCAACCAGGUCCAAUCACAGAGUGACAGAGAUCACCUGUGAGGCCUUCAACCAGGUCCAAUCACAGAGUGACAGAGAUCACCUGUGAGGCCUUCAACCAGGUCCAAUCACAGAGUGACAGAGAUCACCUGUGAGGCCUUCAACCAGGUCCAAUCACCGAGUGAUAGAGAUCACCUGUGAGGCCUUCAACCAGGUCCAAUCACCGAGUGAUAGACAUCACCUGUGAGGCCGUCAACCUCGAUAUUUACUAAAACUAAAAACGGAGUAGUAAAAGGAAAACGACAUUGGUCCACUUGAGUGUUUUAGCAUCGUUCCAGUUAAUCUGCAUCCACAUGGCAAUCUCCACAAGCGUAUAUCACAUGGCCAUUGACUUACACUGGGCAGGAGCGAGGCGGUGUAAACGGGAAGAUACGACACACACAGUCACGUGAUAGUGUGACGAAUCGGGGAAGGACACAUCCCAAAUGCUAAGAGACAAUCAAGUAGGGAACGUGGGUGCGGGCCUGGGGAGUGUUCCAAACCUUGCACAGUUCCACGGGAUGUGUUCUGCAUAGUUACAAGUAAUGGGGGCAUUAUGGUAAUUUCUGUAACAUCUGCAUACAGCUGUUUAGCACACAUAACACCCACAAACCAAACAGCCACACACCGCCACAGCAAAGUCUUCAAAGAUGGCCGACCUGUCAGCAGGCAUCUCGCCUGGUUUCUGAGUGCUUUAGAGUGUAGGAGGAGAAAACCAACCCCGCCCCCCCGACCGGGAAGUUCAUUUAAAGCUCUGGGGUGUGCUACACAUGGCAGUGCCGUUUUAAAAGAGCUCUCUUUUAACACUUGGCAGAGAAGUGCAGGAGAAAGGUUGCGCUGUUUGGGGGUCGGUAUAUAAAUGGCUCCCGGGGGCCCGCUUCCCACUGAGGAGGUCCAAACUCUGACGAUGGGAGGGGGUUGAAGAGCUGAAACCCAAGCAUCAUUGAAUGUGUCAUCGGCCACGCCGAGCGUCGCUGCUGUUUGAGAAACAUGAUAUUUUAGUGUCAAACAUCGGCCCGGAGACGUCAAGUUCAGCGGCAAGACCGUCUGCGGGUAAUCCUCAGCGUGGUGGUAACCAUGGCGAUGCCCAUCUGGAGACGGGUUUUAAACACCUUCAACCAACAGAUGCAAUACAAUCAAAAAAGCAGCGCUUCAUUGAGCCUUUUGAAGACGUCUUCAUGGAGAAACAAAGAAGCCGAUAAUGGGAUUUAUGUAACAAGUGAAUAGUCUCUAUUUAUUGUGAUGAAUGAAUGUUUGCUGUAUUCAGCAAUGGAUUAAUGAUUUGAGCAGUUGAAGUUUUGCUUAUUAAAAAUAUUGUCAGAUAAUUUGAUAAUUGAGGAGAACAAAGAGAAAAAGCAACAACAUUUCAACGUAAAAUAAGGCAUAACAUACAUAUUUAUUCUGUUAAGAAACGUUGAAUAAAAACAGCACGAUUGUUUGAAUGUCAUGGUUUUAUAGAUGAACGGAUGAUAUUAAUUCAUCCGUAGAUAACAAGGCAGGUGAAGACUUUUUGCCUCCUGUGAGAAACAGCGAAUCUCUCCUCGCCUGUCCGCGACCUUACGACUGGACGUGAACCCCAGCCGGCUGAAAGGUUGUGACCCCUCAGGCCGUUUCCUCUGUUUGGCUUUGUGGAGUUGAUACUUCAGAGCCAGCUGGGAAUUCAGAUACACAAACAGAACAAGCUUCCGACACAACUGACUCAUUGACACAGGAAAAAAGAAGCCUGGAGGGCGGAGGCAGAGCUUCAGCGAUAGGACAGAGCCUCUGGUCCGAGGUCCGAUUGUGAGCUUUAAAAUGACGCUUUUUACCUUUUAUCAGGUGGAGAAGAGACGGACAGGAAAUGAGGCGAGUAACAGAGGGGAUGAAAUGCAACUAUGACAUAAAUGUAUUUCAUAACUUUUAUACUAUACUACAUAAUUUUAUUAUAU